rnacentral:rRNA from 1 species
AGCGGCAGACGGGUGAGUAACGCGUGAAUAAUCAACCCUGUACAAAGGGAUAGCCUCGGGAAACCGGGAUUAAUACCAUAUGAAGUAUAUUAAUCGCAUGAUAGAUAUAUUAAAACUUUGGUGGUACAGGACGAGUUCGCGUCCCAUUAGCUAGUUGGUGAGAUAAAAGCUUACCAAGGCGACGAUGGGUAGCCGGCCUGAGAGGGUGAACGGCUACACUGGAACUGAGACACGGUCCAGACUCCUACGGGAGGCAGCAGUGGGGAAUAUUGCACAAUGGAGGAAACUCUGAUGCAGCGACGCCGCGUGAGCGAAGAAGGCUUUCGAGUCGUAAAGCUCUGUCCUAAGAGAAGAAGAAGUGACGGUAACUUAGGAGGAAGCCCCGGCUAACUACGUGCCAGCAGCCGCGGUAAUACGUAGGGGGCUAGCGUUGUCCGGAAUUACUGGGCGUAAAGGGUGAGUAGGUGGUCAUUAAAGUCAGAUGUAAAAGGCAAUGGCUCAACCAUUGUAAGCAUUUGAAACUUAAUGACUUGAGUGCAGGAGAGGUAAAUGGAAUUCCUAGUGUAGCGGUGAAAUGCGUAGAUAUUAGGAAGAACACCAGUGGCGAAGGCGAUUUACUGGACUGUAACUGACACUGAGUCACGAAAGCGUGGGGAGCGAACAGGAUUAGAUACCCUGGUAGUCCACGCUGUAAACGAUGAGUGCUAGGUGUCGGCAAGAGAUUGUCGGUGCCGCAGUUAACGCAUUAAGCACUCCGCCUGGGGAGUACGAUCGCAAGAUUGAAACUCAAAGGAAUUGACGGGGACCCGCACAAGCAGCGGAGCAUGUGGUUUAAUUCGAAGCAACGCGAAGAACCUUACCAAGACUUGACAUCCUCUUGACAGGUGUAGAAGUACACCCUCUCUUCGGAGCAAGAGUGACAGGUGGUGCAUGGUUGUCGUCAGCUCGUGUCGUGAGAUGUUGGGUUAAGUCCCGCAACGAGCGCAACCCUUAUCAUUAGUUGCCAUCAUUAAGUUGGGAACUCUAAUGAGACUGCCGGUGAUAAACCGGAGGAAGGUGGGGAUGACGUCAAAUCAUCAUGCCCCUUAUGUCUUGGGCUACACACGUGCUACAAUGGUCGGUACAACGGGAAGCUAAGGAGUGAUCUGGAGCUAACCCCAAUAAGCCGAUCCCAGUUCGGAUUGCAGGCUGCAACUCGCCUGCAUGAAGUUGGAGUUGCUAGUAAUCGCGAAUCAGAAUGUCGCGGUGAAUGCGUUCCCGGGUCUUGUACACACCGCCCGUCACACCAUGGGAGUUGGUAAUACCCGAAGCCGUCGAGCUAACGUAAGAGGCAGACGUCGAAGGUAGGACUAAUGACUGGGGUGAAGUCG